ensembl:lncRNA
UGGGUGCAUGGAUACACCAGCUCCCUGCACUGUCUGUCCAGGGAGGGCCUGUGUCUGCCUGCUAACAGCUCUCCUCUUCUUCCUAGGCAUGCCACGACCACACCAUCCAGUUUGCCCUCCUGGUCCUCCAGGACACCAUGGUCCCGGCACAGGUCCCCACCCUGGUGGCCCUGCUGUCUGCCCCCCUCCCCCUGGCCAUGGGCAUCCUCCCCAUGGGCACCCCCAUCCAUGACCACCUCAUGGCCAUCAGGAGCAUGAUUAGAAGUACCAUAAGAAGCACCAUAAGGGCAAGCACUCCAAGCACCAUGGAGACAAGCACUCCAGUGGCUCAAGCAGCAGCUCUGACUCUGACUGAAGAUCUGGCAUCUCCCACCUUCAGCAAAACACGAAGCCAAACACCUUGUGGGAACUCCCUGCAUGUAGCUCUACUCCCUUCCCCUUUCCCUUACAGCAGUGUUUUGCCUGCUGACUGAUUUUCUUGUGUUUACAUUGUAAAUGAUUUGUCCUGGAAUCCCUGAGUCACUGGACAGCAUCUCCAUCGUCUGUCUUUUGGGGGAGCCUGCUGAAAGUCAUCAUGUGCUUGUUUGCAAUCUGCUGGUGUCCGUG